CGUGUUUUUAGAAAGGAAAUAUUGUCUGUUCGUUGACGAAUGAAGAAGCGGUUUAAAUGUCUACGUAGUAUUAUUGUUUAAAAACCCGAUGAAAACGGGAAAGUCAAAAGCAUGCACGGUUUAGUAAUUUUCGAUUUAGUUUUUUUUUUUUUUUUUGUUGUGUUUCGAUUAGACAGUUCAAUUUAAAUUUAUCAAAACACCCGUGAAUCAAAUUCCGCACCGAAUCAUUAUCCGUUUAUAAUGCUCCGCGGUUGGUCGUUAUGCACAUUACAAUAUACAACGAGUUGACCUAAUUGCCUUUUUCCUUUGUUAAUUUCUUCGAUACCGAAAAAAUACAAUCUCCAUAGCACCGAUUUGUUUAAAUCAUAAUGUGAUUUGAAUAGCUAUUAUAUUGUAUAAUUUCUCGGUCGAUAUUGUAAUGAAAGAUGUUUUGAAAUAAUAAAUUGUAUUUUUUUUUUUUUUUUUUGUUUUUUUACGAAUUUCUAUAUAAUAUGUUUAAUGCGGUACGUUUUUUUUUUUUGGGGGGAUUUUGAACCGACAGAAUAAAUGACGUUUUUAUUUUUGGUAUAACAAAUAUAUGUGUGUAACAUGUUUACAAAAUAUUAUGGUAGUGGAAAGAAACACGGUGUUUGGAAUUCAAAUCACAACACGGUUGACUGGUUUUAAUAUUAUUAGUUUUAGUUUCAGUUAGUAUUUGUUUGUUUUUAAACGAAAAAAUAUAAGUACCAUAUAAUACAUAGCAAUCUGUUUUUUUUUCUCUUUUUGAUAUUUCAUAUUAUUAUAUAUUUUUAUAGAUUUUUUUUUUUUUUGUUGAUGAGAGUAUAUUAUUAUUGUAUACAGGAAUCCGCAACAUAUUUAGUGUUCU